rnacentral:rRNA from 1 species
AUUGAACGCUGGCGGCAUGCCUUACACAUGCAAGUCGAACGGUAACAGGUCUUCGGAUGCUGACGAGUGGCGAACGGGUGAGUAAUACAUCGGAACGUGCCCGAUCGUGGGGGAUAACGAAGCGAAAGCUUUGCUAAUACCGCAUACGAUCUACGGAUGAAAGCAGGGGACCGCAAGGCCUUGCGCGAACGGAGCGGCCGAUGGCAGAUUAGGGAGUUGGUGGGAUAAAAGCUUACCAAGCCGACGAUCUGUAGCUGGUCUGAGAGGACGACCAGCCACACUGGGACUGAGACACGGCCCAGACUCCUACGGGAGGCAGCAGUGGGGAAUUUUGGACAAUGGGCGAAAGCCUGAUCCAGCCAUGCCGCGUGCAGGAUGAAGGCCUUCGGGUUGUAAACUGCUUUUGUACGGAACGAAAAGACUCUGGCUAAUACCUGGGGUCCAUGACGGUACCGUAAGAAUAAGCACCGGCUAACUACGUG